UACUUGGUUGAUCCUACCAGUAGUCAUAUGCUUGUCUCAAAGAUUAAGACAUGCAUGUGUAAGUAUGAACAAAUUCAGACAGUGAAACUGCGAAUGGUUCAUUAAAUCAGUUAUAGUUUGUUUGAUAGUAUCUACUACUCAGAUAAUCGUAUUAAUUCUAGAGCAAAUACGUGCAUCAAACCCUGACUUCUGGAAGGGAUGCAUUUAUUAUAUAAAAGGUCAACACAGGCUCUACCCAUUGAUGCAUUGAUUCAUGAUAACUAGAUGGAUCUCACGACCAUUGUGCCGACGACGCAUCAUUCAAAUUCUUCCCUAUCAACUUUUGAUGGUAGGAUAGCGACCUACUAUGGUGGUGAUGGAUGAUGGGUGAUGGAGAAUUAGUAGUUGAUUUUGGACAGGGAGCCUAAGGAACAGCUACUAUAUCCAAGAAUUCAGCAGUCAUGCAAAUUAUCUAAUCCUGACACAGAGAGGUAGGGAUAGUAAAUAACAAUACCAGACUCAAUGAGUCUAGUAAUUGGAAUAAAUACAAUCUAAAUCCCUUAAUGUGGAUCUAUUGGAGGGUAAGUCCUAUGCCAGCAGCCGCGGUAAUUCCAGCUCCAAUAGCAUAUAUUUAAGUUGUUGCAGUUAAAAGCUCAUAGUUGGACUUUAGGAUGGGACGGCCGAUCCGUCUAUUGUGUGCACCGAUCAUCUCAUCCCUUAUGUCGGUGAUGUGCUACUGGCCUUAACUAGUUGGGUCGUGCCUCCGGUGCUGGUACUUUGAAGAAAUUAGAGUGCUUAAAGUAAGCCUACGCUCUGUAUACAUUAGCAUGGGAUAACAUUAUAGGAUUUUGGUCGUAUUACGUUGACCUUUGGGAUCGGAGUAAUGAUUAAUAGGGAAAGUCGGGGGCAUUCAUAUUUCAUAGUCAGAGGUGAAAUUCUUGGAUUUAUGAAAGUCAAACAACUGCGAAAGUAUUUUCCAAGAAUGUUUUCAUUAAUCAAGAACGAAAGAUGAGGGCUUGAAAAUAAUCAGAUACCGUCCUAGUCUCAACCAUAAAUGAUGCCGACCAGGGAUGGGCGAAUGUUGCUUAUAGGACUCUGCUGCCACCUGAUGAGAAAUCAAAGUUUUUGGGUUCAGGGGGGGUAUGGUUUCAAGGGGAAUAUUU
rnacentral:ncRNA from 1 species